rnacentral:rRNA from 1 species
CGAGUGAAGCGGCAACAGCUCAAAUUUGAAAUCUGGCCUCCUCUGGGGGUCCGAGUUGUAAUUUGCAGAGGGUGCUUUGGUGUUGACAGCGGUCUAAGUUCCUUGGAACAGGACAUCACAGAGGGUGAGAAUCCCGUACGUGGUCGCCUGCCUUCACCGUGUAAAGCCCCUUCGACGAGUCGAGUUGUUUGGGAAUGCAGCUCUAAAUGGGAGGUAAAUUUCUUCUAAAGCUAAAUACUGGCCAGAGACCGAUAGCGCACAAGUAGAGUGAUCGAAAGAUGAAAAGCACUUUGGAAAGAGAGUCAAACAGCACGUGAAAUUGUUGAAAGGGAAGCGCUUGCAGCCAGACUUGCUCGUAGUUGCUCACCUGGGCUUUGGCCCAGGGCACUCUUCUACGGGCAGGCCAGCAUCAGUUUGGGCGACCGGAUAACGGCCUCUGUCAUGUAUCUUCCUUCGGGUUGACCUUAUAGGGGAGGCGUAAUGCGGCCAGCCUGGACUGAGGUCCGCGCAUCUGCUAGGAUGCUGGCGUAAUGGCUGUAAGCGGCCCGUCUUGAAACACGGACCAAGGAGUCUAACAUCUAUGCGAGUGUUUGGGUGUCAAGCCCGAGCGCGUAAUGAAAGUGAACGGAGGUGGGAACCCUUUCGGGGGUGCACCAUCGACCGAUCCUGAUGUCUUCGGAUGGAUUUGAGUAAGAGCAUAGCUGUUGGGACCCGAAAGAUGGUGAACUAUGCUUGAAUAGGGUGAAGCCAGAGGAAACUCUGGUGGAGGCUCGCAGCGGUUCUGACGUGCAAAUCGAUCGUCAAAUUUGGGCAUAGGGGCGAAAGA